CCCUUAGAUGUUCUGGGCCGCACACGCGCUACACUGAAGGAGGCAGCGUGUACUCCUGGAUCGAAAGAUUUGGGUAACCCGCGAAUCUCCUUCGUGCUAGGGAUUGAGGUUUGCAAUUAUCCUUCAUGAACGAGGAAUUCCCAGUAAGUGCAAGUCAUAAGCUUGCGCUGACUACGUCCCUGCCCUUUGUACACACCGCCCGUCGCUACUACCGAUUGAAUGAUUUAGUGAGGCCUUCGGAUCCGCAACUCGUUUUGUGGAGAAGUUGGACAAACUCAGUCAUUUAGAGGAAGUAAAANUCGUAACA
rnacentral:rRNA from 1 species